rnacentral:rRNA from 1 species
UACGUAGGGUGCGAGCGUUAAUCGGAAUUACUGGGCGUAAAGCGUGCGCAGGCGGUUAUUUAAGUCAGGUGUGAAAGCCCUGGGCUUAACCUAGGAAUUGCGCUUGAGACUGGAUAGCUUGGAGUGCGGCAGAGGGAGGUGGAAUUCCACGUGUAGCAGUGAAAUGCGUAGAGAUGUGGAGGAACACCGAUGGCGAAGGCAGCCUCCUGGGC